UCAUACCAGCACCCAGGGCUGAUGGCUUUACCGAACAUUAGUUAGGAUUAUCAGACUUGCAGGCAUCAGCUUGUGACCGUCCAUCGCCGUGUUAUCCCUGACUAGUCUGCGCCACAGCUGCAUCCGACCACUGACAAUAUGCAGCACCUUUGGGUUCCCAGGGGGGUUAAGCACCCAUGGGAUGUGAAGGAAUGAAGAGUCUAUUAUACCAACCAGGCAUAGAGACAGAUGCACGGGUGCCGCCACAGUCCAUUUGAACGUGUAGGACGG
rnacentral:lncRNA from 1 species